rnacentral:ncRNA from 1 species
AACAGAGAUAAAAACACAACGCGGUUAUCAUCCCGCAGAGCCGGUAGGUAGUCCGGCCGCACCGUUUUGGUGUAAGUAACCCUCCCUCCUUGGGUCGUCCGUUCUUUGUGCAU